rnacentral:rRNA from 1 species
AUUGAACGCUGGCGGCAUGCCUAAAACAUGCAAGUCGAACGAGUGGCGGACGGGUGAGUAAUGUCUGGGAAACUGACCCAUGGAGGGGGAAAACUACUGGAAAGGGUAGCUAAUACCGCAUACCAUCGGAUCGGACCAGAUGGGAUUAGCUAGUAGGUGGGGUAAAGGCUCACCUAGGCGACGAUCCCUAGCUGGUCUGAGAGGAUGACCAGCCACACUGAGACUGAGACACGGACCAGACUCCUACGGUAGGCAGCAGUGGGGAAGGUUGCACAAUGGGCGAAACCCUGAUGCAGCCAUGCCGCGUGUAUGAAGAAGGCCUUCGGGUUGUAAAGUACUUUCAGCGAGGAGGCGUUACUCGCAGAAGAAGCACCGGCUAACUCCGUGCCAGCAGCCGCGGUAAUUC